CCCGGGCCCUCUCCGCCCCAGGCCCCAGCCGUGGCGCUGAGAGCCCUGGGCCUUCCUGUGGUGCCACCAGGGGGCAGCACAAGGCCUGGCUGCUUCCACAGCCCUUGGCGCUGUGGGCAGCCUGGGCCUGGAGGGCGCUUCCUCUGGAUUGGCGGUGAUGCCUGGCAGCAUGGAAAUGCCAGUACACGUAAGCCACUCCCUCAAACGCCCUAAUGCCCUGACAACACCCCAGCCUCUGAAUCAGCCCUGAAGGUCUCUGACUCCUCAGAGAGAACGGGCACUGCUGCUUCCAGCACUUGGCCUCACAGUCAAGGGGAGGGGCUGGCCGGGUGCUGCUGUCACUACCCCAGCACCUUGUAGCAGGCUGGGUGGGAUCCCAUGAGCCCAGCCUUGUGGUGCCUCAUGAGGCCUUUGCCCAGACUGGGUGGCUGGGUGACCAGACUUGUGGACCCGGAAGGCAGAGGUGGAGGAGGCUUUGUGGCCCCAUGCAGGGGCUAGCCCAGCCACUCAGAGUGACAGCCUGCUUCUGCCUGGGUGUGUAGCUGGGUGACCGUAGAGGCCUAGGGCCCUGGAGCCCAGCCCUAGGUGGAGGCACGUCAGAGCCACCAGCUUCUGGCUAGACUGGUGGGGAGGCAUUUCCUACCCUGGGUCCCAAAUCUAAGGACUGGGUGAGAAGAGGAGAGUGGGCCUGGGACCCCCUUUAUCAAACUCCACCUUGUCACUCUACACAGGAGGGCUGGGCUAGGGUGGAGAUAGGAACUAAAAGUCUUUGGGGACCCCAGUCAGCACAGAGGGACUAAGAAGUGCCAGAAUUUAGGCAAUGACCUCUUUCCCACUGCCCGGGAGAACGAAGGCAGGGGCCUGCCUCCCUGCCUUCUCCGCUGCAGGCGGGGCUGCCCGGACCCCGCCGGGGUGGGGAGGGCCAGCCGGGCCCAGGAAAGGGGCGGGGCGGCCGCAGUGACGCGGCGGGCUGCGGGGAGGGACGGCAGGGGCGCCGGCGGGCGGAUCGAGAGGAAGGUCGGGGCCAUGGGCCGGCACUGCGCCUCGGGAGGGUCCGGCCACCGCUGGAACCCGAGGCCGGGGCUGGGGGCGCUCCGGGCUCCGACCCACGGGCCGGCCGGCCCUGCCCGGGCUGGGUGAGGGGCGCCCGCCUCAAGCUAGAGGAAGAGGACGGGGUGGCUGCCUGGGCGCGUGGAGAGCCAGCGGGGGCCGGGGGUCCAGGAAGGAUGCUGGGAGGGGGAGGUCGAGGACCCGGCUGCCCUGCAUGGUGAAGAAGGCAGAUCUGGAGGGCGGAGGGGAUUCCUAGUCCCCGAAGGUAGGUUCGGGUGCAGGGCAUGGGGAACCCUGGCAGAGAUGCUGGGCGCACGGGACCACUCGGCGCAGAGACACUCGGGGAACAAAGCUCUAGGUGGACGUCCGAAAGUGGGGGACCUGGGACC
rnacentral:lncRNA from 1 species